rnacentral:tRNA from 1 species
GGGUAUAUAGCUCAGGGGUAGAGUGCAUGCUUAGCGUGCUUGAGGUCCUGAGUUCAAUUCCCAGUACUUCUG